rnacentral:ncRNA from 1 species
UUGCGGGCGACUGCAAAUCCGAAAGAAGCCAUCAGCAAAAUCAGCGUUCUAACGGACAGAAACUUGAUAUAAGGCUGACGAGUCGAGGGUGAGCGAGCAAUGGAUUGCGUUCAGCCCAAAAGUCAAACGUAUCGGCUUACAGUAAAUCAAGUAGAACCUGAUGAAAGAGUAUUUC